rnacentral:rRNA from 1 species
CACGUAGGGUGCGCGCGUUGUCCGGAAUUAUUGGGCGUAAAGAGCUCGUAGGCGGUGUGUCGCGUCGGCCGUGAAAACCUGCAGCUUAACUGUGGGCGUGCGGUCGAUACGGGCAUCACUGGAGUUCGGCAGGGGAGACUGGAAUUCCUGGUGUAGCGGUGAAAUGCGCAGAUAUCAGGAGGAACACCGGUGGCGAAGGCGGGUCUCUGGGCCGAUACUGACGCUGAGGAGCGAAAGCGUGGGGAGCGAACAGG